rnacentral:rRNA from 1 species
AGUGAACGCUGGCGGUAGGCCUAACACAUGCCAGUCGAACGGCAGCACAGUAAGAGCUUGCUCUUACGGGUGGCGAGUGGCGGACGGGUGAGGAAUACAUCGGAAUCUACUUUUUCGUGGGGGAUAACGUAGGGAAACUUACGCUAAUACCGCAUACGACCUACGGGUGAAAGCAGGGGAUCUUCGGACCUUGCGCGAUUGAAUGAGCCGAUGUCGGAUUAGCUAGUUGGCGUGGUAAAGGCCCACCAAGGCGACGAUCCGUAGCUGGUCUGAGAGGAUGAUCAGCCACACUGGAACUGAGACACGGUCCACACUCCUACGGGAGGCAGCAGUGGGGAAUAUUGGACAAGGGGCGCAAGCCUGAUCCAGCCAUACCGCGUGGGUGAAGAAGGCCUUCGGGUUGUAAAGCCCUUUUGUUGGGAAAGAAAAGCAGCAGGUUAAUACCCCGCUGUUCUGACGGUACCCAAAGAAUAAGCACCGGCUAACUUCGUG